rnacentral:RNase_P_RNA from 1 species
GGAGUGGGCCGGGUGGCCGCGCGCACGAAGGUUGUGCGUGAGGAAAGUCCGGACACCACAGGGCAGGGUGCCUGCUAACGGCAGGGCGGGGCGACCCGACGGAAAGUGCCACAGAAAAGAAAACCCCCCGAUCGCAAGGUCGGAGGAAAGCUGAAACGGUGCGGUAAGAGCGCACCAGCGUCACGGUAACGUGGCGGCUUGGCAAACCCCACCCGGUGCAAGGGCAAAUAGGAGCGGCUAAGACCGGCCCGGUCAACGCUCGGGUUAGCCCGCGUGAGGCCGUCGGCGACGGCGGUCCCAGAUAGAUGGUCGCCCACGACAGAAUCCGGCUUACAGGCCCACUCCAACU